rnacentral:rRNA from 1 species
CACGUAGGGUGCGAGCGUUGUCCGGAAUUAUUGGGCGUAAAGAGUUCGUAGGCGGUGUGUCGCGUCGGCCGUGAAAACCUGCAGCUUAACUGUGGGCUUGCGGUCGAUACGGGCAUCACUGGAGUUCGGCAGGGGAGACUGGAAUUCCUGGUGUAGCGGUGAAAUGCGCAGAUAUCAGGAGGAACACCGGUGGCGAAGGCGGGUCUCUGGGCCGAUACUGACGCUGAGGAGCGAAAGCGUGGGGAGCAAACAGG